UGUUCUUUCUUGUGAGCUGAAAGAGAUUUGUGCGGUCUUUUGGCCAGGGAGAGAUGAGGAGAGAAGACGUGAAUGGAGAGAGUUGGUAGACUGCCAGAAGGGGUGGACUUGGAGCAAGGACGCGAAGGGCAGCGACGAUCGGAGGAGGUCGAUGGUGGACGAUCGACUUAUCAAACAAGUUACAGUGGCUUCUGGAGAGAACAGAGGGAGAAAGAGCUUAUGGAAAAGGAGAAACCAGAGGUGGAGGGUGCAGGGGAAUGAAGAGAGCAGAAGGACGAAUUAUAACAGGAGCUGAAGCAGAUACAAGCAGAGAAUGAGGCAAUGAAUACACUUGGUUACAACAUCGUCGCAGAUUUUCCAUCCAAUCCCUUCUCUUCUCCUUCUGCUCACCAUCCAUGAGAACUUGAUAAAGUGGCAGAAAUCUACUCAAUCUGCACAGAUGAAUUCUGAGAAAACACCAUUCCUAGGCAAUAGAACAUCCUGUAUAACAUUUUAAAAGUUGCCUGUUUAAGGUCGGUGAUCAGCAGAAGGUACAAUUAUUAGAAGCACCAUUUCUUAAGUGACACUUCAAGCUGAAUGUUCCAAACAAUCAGGCCACUUUGUGGAGGAAAAAUUAGGUUGAAAUUAAUUUAUUUAAUCUUUGUGUACACUAGCUCUGCAUGAUUCUUAAACAUAAAUAUGAUUUAAAAUUAAAAUUGUGAA